AAAUUGAAGAGUUUGAUCAUGGCUCAGAUUGAACGCUGGCGGCAGGCCUAACACAUGCAAGUCGAACGGUAGCACAGAGGAGCUUGCUCCUUGGGUGACGAGUGGCGGACGGGUGAGUAAU
rnacentral:rRNA from 1 species